GGUGAAGAAAAGGUGACAAAAGUUCAGGAUGUUGAGAUAAGGCACUGGAGAAGUUCAGGCUUAGGAAUUGGGAAAAGCAAACCUGGCUGCUCCUGAGUCCUGACGCCCCGAUUCCUGCUCAUCAGAAGUUUCCAUUGCAGCCUUCCUCCCCCAGAGGUUUCCCCCCAUCAGAAGUGGCCUAGCUGUGAUGGAUUGGCAUCCUGUAUCACGCCUUACUCUCAGGCAGCCUUCACAAGCGCCCACCUCCCCCACCGUUUUCUGCUGGCAUUCAAAGCAAGAAUUCAUCAGCAAGCCAUGCCAAGAUUUUCAUCGACUGGCCUUCGGAAGUUCUAGCACAAGAAUUUGUCCAACCACCCAGAAAAAGUCUGCAAAAAAUAACAAAGACUUGGUGAAAAUAAAGAGAUGUACAGCCGUCAUUAAAUGUUGUGCUUCAAGAAACUAAUUAUUCGAUACAUUCUUGUGUUAGAUAAUCAGAAAUUUGUAUUUUUGGAAAUGAUCAUAAUAUUAAAAUACAUUUUGUUGUUUUGUUUUGCUUUAAGUGUCCUUUUUCCAAGUGUCCGAUGCUCCUGUCAUGCAGGUGGCAUUUAGGAAGAGUAUAUUCUGUGAAGCCCAGUGCCAGAUUUAUCUACUUUAUUGACUGGCCUUUUGAAGAUACAAUAGUUUUAAUGAUUUUAAUGGUGCUCUAACCUAUAACCUUGUGAACAUAAUUUAAACAAAUCAGAUUAAGAAAUUUGCUUUAGAUUUCAUUCUAUGUUCACACCGAGCAGCAUGAGUUCAAGUGACCACUUCCAAGGAAACACGCAUAUGCACAUAUCUGGCAUUUGUGUUCAAAACUCUCAUAUUCACAUAUCCCUACGCAGGUUUUUACAUCUGUUUAAAUGUAUGUGCAGCCAUUUAGCACGCAUUUAAAGUUAACCCUGUUGAACUUUGACCCAACCAGGCAUUGGGGUUUGGUAGUAACAUAUGAUUAACGUCCUCCACUAAACAUUUCAGACCUACAAUGAACAUGUUUCUGUAUCUCAAAAUG